rnacentral:rRNA from 1 species
GAUGAACGCUGGCGGCGUGCCUAAUACAUGCAAGUCGAGCGAACAGAUAAGGAGCUUGCUCCUUUGACGUUAGCGGCGGACGGGUGAGUAACACGUGGGUAACCUACCUAUAAGACUGGAAUAACUCCGGGAAACAGGGGCUAAUGCCGGAUAACAUUUAGAACCGCAUGGUUCUAAAGUGAAAGAUGGUUUUACUAUCACUUAUAGAUGGACCCGCGCCGUAUUAGCUAGUUGGUAAGGUAACGGCUUACCAAGGCAACGAUACGUAGCCGACCUGAGAGGGUGAUCGGCCACACUGGAACUGAGACACGGUCCAGACUCCUACGGGAGGCAGCAGUAGGGAAUCUUCCGCAAUGGGCGAAAGCCUGACGGAGCAACGCCGCGUGAGUGAUGAAGGUCUUCGGAUCGUAAAACUCUGUUAUUAGGGAAGAACAAAUGUGUAAGUAACUGUGCACGUCUUGACGGUACCUAAUCAGAAAGCCACGGCUAACUACGUG